UGAGACACAGGUGUCUCUGUCUCCAGAGCCUGAGAGCUGGUGGGUGAUAGGGGAUUUGCAUUUCAGCUCCCAUUCCCAGGGGCUGUCUGCUGCUGAGCCUCACCUGUGCCCUUUACCUCCCUCUCACUACCCAGGCCAUCUGGGGGAUUUCACACUGCCAGCUGAGAGAGAAUAGGCAAGACAUUUGUUGAGGAUCAAGAAGACAAGGGAUGAUGUAAAACAGUGGUCAGAUCCUUCUUCCAAGUACCUCUCCAUUCUCCAGCUAGACGCCUAUGCAUGUGCCAUGGACACCUGCCAGCUGGGCAUGUGGAACAGGCUUACUGGGUCUGUGGCCAACACCCCCAGAAUUCACCAGCACAGAAUUCCAUGAAAAUCAGAGAAAGCAGGCAAUAGAUGAAGAAGGCAGCAUCUACAAAGGAGACUGCUGCCUGCUGGCUUUGAAAUUUUGUGGCUCUGUGUUUAGAGGGCCUAUGUGUCCAUGAUGUGUACAGGCAUGACAUCGAGGUUGCAAAUUGAAAACAUACUUCACACACACCUGAACACAUUCCGUCUGAACCAGUGCCAAGCCACAUGUGUUGAACAUGUCAACAAACUGUCUGAUUUGUUCCUAUAUCUCUCCCACGCAAGCACUGUCAGGCAGGGCUGGAAAGCGGGUGCACCGAGCUGGACCAAACCUACAAGGGCUUCUAUAGAAAGCAUAUUGUUUGCCCAUAUGGGCUGGGGGAGAUGGCAGCUGGGUGAGGAUCUUGCCUCCUGCCAGGCUGAGAGACAAGCAAUGUGCUCCUGAGUCCUGAAAUCCAGGCUGAGGACAGCCCAAGGGCAUGGGGAGGUUUCUGGAAUAUUUGGGGGAUGACAGCUCCUGAGUGGACCCUUGGAAAAGAGAGCA